rnacentral:rRNA from 1 species
UACGGAGGGGGCCAGCGUUGUUCGGAAUCAUUGGGCGUAAAGGGCGCGUAGGCGGCUUUGUAAGUCCGCUGUGAAAUCCCUCGGCUCAACCGAGGAACUGCGACGGAUACUGCUUGGCUUGAGUCCCGGAGAGGGUAGCGGAAUUCCCAGUGUAGCGGUGAAAUGCGUAGAUAUUGGGAGGAACAUCGGUGGCGAAGGCGGCUACCUGGACGGGUACUGACGCUGAUGCGCGAAAGCUAGGGGAGCAAACAGG